AGAGUUUGAUCAUGGCUCAGAACGAACGCUGGCGGCGUGGAUAAGACAUGCAAGUCAGACGAGAUUUUUCGUAGUAGCAAUACGAUGGAAAAUUUAGUGGCGAACGGGUGCUUAACACGUGGGCAACCUGCCAGGAAGUGGGGGACAGCUCGCCGAAAGGCGGAUUAAUACCGCAUGUGAUUAGAGAGGACAUCCUUUCGAAAUUAAAGUCGGGGCAACCUGACGCUUCUUGUGGGGCCCGCGGCCUAUCAGCUAGUUGGUGAGGUAACGGCUCACCAAGGCUUUGACGGGUAGCUGGUCUGAGAGGACGACCAGCCACACUGGGACUGAGACACGGCCCAGACACCUACGGGUGGCAGCAGUCGAGAAUUUUUGACAAUGGGGGAAACCCUGAUCGAGCGACGCCGCGUGGAGGAUGAAGGUCUUCGGAUUGUAAACUCCUGUCAUUGGGGAACAAUGCACAGAUAUUAACUGUAUUUGUGUUGAUAGUACCCGAAGAGGAAGAGACGGCUAACUCUGUGCCAGCAGCCGCGGUAAUACAGAGGUCUCAAGCGUUGUUCGGAUUCAUUGGGCGUAAAGGGUGCGUAGGCGGCGCGGUAAGUCGGGUGUGAAAUCUCGGAGCUUAACUCCGAAACUGCAUUCGAUACUACCGUGCUUGAGGACUGGAGAGGAGACUGGAAUUUACGGUGUAGCGGUGAAAUGCGUAGAUAUCGUAAGGAAGACCAGUGGCGAAGGCGGGUCUCUGGACAGUUCCUGACGCUGAGGCACGAAGGUCAGGGGAGCAAACGGGAUUAGAUACCCUAGUAGUCC
rnacentral:rRNA from 1 species